GGAUUACUCGCUCAUUUAAGAAAAAUAUUUAAUAUAUUAUUAUUUUCCAGCUGAAAUUUAUAUUAGCAUUAAGAAAGAAGGAAUGUUGAAGGUAAUAAUCAUCGUUACGAUAACAAUUUUUGUGAUACAUUCUUCCGAUGCAACUUGUGUCAAAUGCAAGAUUAAAGAUAGACAUCUAACCAGAACAGACAAUCAAGACUCUAUUAGACAACAUCCUGGAAAAGAAAACCAAGAUGAGAGUAGACAUCACAAAAAGAAAGGAAACGAAGAAGAGAGAAUCCACCGAGACCUAAAGAAAGGAAACGAGGAAGAGAGAAUCCACCGAGACCUAAAGAAAGGAAACGAAGAA